rnacentral:rRNA from 1 species
CCUACGGGUGGCAGCAGUCGAGAAUUUUUCUCAAUGGGCGCAAGCCUGAAGGAGCGACGCCGCGUGGGGGAUGAAGGGCUUCGGUCCGUAAACCCCUGUCAUUUGCGAACUUGUAGCGGAAGAGGAAGGGACGGCUAACUCUGUGCCAGCAGCCGCGGUAAUACAGAGGUCCCAAGCGUUGUUCGGAUUCACUGGGCGUAAAGGGUGCGUAGGUGGCUGGGUAAGUUUGAUGUGAAAGCUCGGAGCUUAACUCCGAAAUGGCAUUGAAUACUAUCCAGCUUGAGGAUCGGAGGGGAGACUGGAAUUCUCGGUGUAGCAGUGAAAUGCGUAGAUAUCGAGAGGAACACCGGUGGCGAAGGCGAGUCUCUGGACAUCCUGACACUGAGGCACGAAAGCUAGGGGAGCAAACAGGAUUAGAUACCCUUGUAGUC